rnacentral:rRNA from 1 species
AUGGAGGCGUGCAAGACACGACGGCCAUGCGACGCACACGUCCAUAAGCAGGAAGAAAGGGGACGGAUCGAUUCAUCCCGCACGGUGGCCCGAGGGACAGCGGCGUCGCGGCACCGGCGUCCGUGCACGGCGUCGGCCGUGCGGACCCCGGAGGGUGGGGACGUUGAUGCGGCGUCAUAUGGCACAUCGGAGCCCAUGAUCUCCAGUGGCGAGGAUGAGCAGCAACAGUGGCACCAUGAUGAUGUAGUAGUGGAGAGGCAGCAGCUUAUCCAGGAGCUUCGCGUGUGGCAGCGGGAAGCCGCCAGCACAGCCUUGCGGUGGCCGGCGAUGGAAACAGCCUUCCCAUUGCUUCAGCACACCCCUAGAUCGGUAGGGUUUGCGGGAAUUAAGGGGCUGGAUAUCAUGUACGUGAACUCAGUUUUCAUAGGUAUCCAGGCCCUACCCUUUAUAUGUGUGAUGGCAACAGGGGACCAAAACCAUCUGUCGGUUAGAGGUGCCCCCGAUCAGGACGAUUCUGUUGGGGUCACAUCCACGUACGUUGGUUCGUGGCCCAUCCCCUUAACGUUACUUUUUACCCGGUCAGAGCCGAGAUCAACCAACACUGGCACCAGCGUGUCCGUCGGGUGGUCGAAGCUUUGCCACAGCACGUUGGAGGAGUUGCUGCCGUCGACAAGGACCAGGUUGCCGUUGUCGUGGAUCUCCGCCGUGUUGUUUGAGCCCGGCGACAAGGAAGACGACAGGUUCGAAGACCACACGACGACCGGCGAGGUGGAGGCAGCGGUGGGACCGACGAGCUCGAGGUUGCCGUCGUCAGCGGAGACACGGAGCUCGGCGGAGGCGACAGCAGAUAGUGGACUCGCGCGGUUGCCCACCCAGAUGAUGGUCUGGCCGGGGAUGUUCUUGUACCAGAUCCCGAGGUAG